UAUAGUUUAACAAAAAC
rnacentral:tRNA from 2 species